CCCUUAGAUGUUCUGGGCGGCCCGCGCACUACAAUGGCGCGUUCAUCGAGAACCAAGGUUGAAUUAUUCGAGGUAUUCUUGCAAAACGCGUCUUGAUUGGGAUAGUUCCUUGUAAUUGUUGGUCUUGAACGAGGAAUUCCUUGUAAGCGUGGUUUAUCAUCCCACGUUGAAUGCGUCCCUGCCCUUUGUACACACCGCCCGUCGCUCCUACCGAUGAAUUGUCCGGUGAAGUUCAUGGAGAGCUGUUUCACUGAGAUGUGCUUAAAGCGAGAUGAACCUAGCGGUUUAGAGGAAGGAGAAGUCGUAACA
rnacentral:rRNA from 1 species